rnacentral:rRNA from 1 species
CACUAUCGUUAACUGAAUACAUAGGUUAACGAGGCGAACCGGGGGAACUGAAACAUCUAAGUACCCCGAGGAAAAGAAAUCAACCGAGAUUCCCCCAGUAGCGGCGAGCGAACGGGGAGCAGCCCGGAGUCUGAAUCAGCUUGUGUGUUAGUGGAACGGUCUGGAAAGUCCGACGGUACAGGGUGAUAGUCCCGUACACGAAAACACACUUGCUGUGAACUCGAAGAGUAGGGCGGGACACGUGGUAUCCUGUCUGAAUAUGGGGGGACCAUCCUCCAAGGCUAAAUACUCCUGACUGACCGAUAGUGAACCAGUACCGUGAGGGAAAGGCGAAAAGAACCCCGGCGAGGGGAGUGAAAAAGAACCUGAAACCGUGUACGUACAAGCAGUGGGAGCCUCUUUAUGGGGUGACUGCGUACCUUUUGUAUAAUGGGUCAGCGACUUAUAUUCUGUAGCAAGGUUAACCGUAUAGGGGAGCCGAAGGGAAACCGAGUCUUAACUGGGCGUUAAGUUGCAGGGUAUAGACCCGAAACCCGGUGAUCUAGCCAUGGGCAGGUUGAAGGUUGGGUAACACUAACUGGAGGACCGAACCGACUAAUGUUGAAAAAUUAGCGGAUGACCUGUGGCUGGGGGUGAAAGGCCAAUCAAACCGGGAGAUAGCUGGUUCUCCCCGAAAGCUAUUUAGGUAGCGCCUCGUGAACUCAUCUUCGGGGGUAGAGCACUGUUUCGGCUAGGGGGCCAUCCCGGCUUACCAACCCGAUGCAAACUACGAAUACCGAAGAAUGUUAUCACGGGAGACACACGGCGGGUGCUAACGUCCGUCGUGAAGAGGGAAACAACCCAGACCGCCAGCUAAGGUCCCAAAGUCAUGGUUAAGUGGGAAACGAUGUGGGAAGGCACAGACAGCCAGGAUGUUGGCUUAGAAGCAGCCAUCAUUUAAAGAAAGCGUAAUAGCUCACUGGUCGAGUCGGCCUGCGCGGAAGAUGUAACGGGGCUAAACCAUGCACCGAAGCUGCGGCAGCGACACUAUGUGUUGUUGGGUAGGGGAGCGUUCUGUAAGCCGUUGAAGGUGUGCUGUGAGGCAUGCUGGAGGUAUCAGAAGUGCGAAUGCUGACAUAAGUAACGAUAAAGCGGGUGAAAAGCCCGCUCGCCGGAAGACCAAGGGUUCCUGUCCAACGUUAAUCGGGGCAGGGUGAGUCGACCCCUAAGGCGAGGCCGAAAGGCGUAGUCGAUGGGAAACAGGUUAAUAUUCCUGUACUUGGUGUUACUGCGAAGGGGGGACGGAGAAGGCUAUGUCAGCCGGGCGACGGUUGUCCCGGUUUAAGCAUGUAGGCGGAGGUUCCAGGUAAAUCCGGUACCUUAUUAACGCUGAGGUGUGAUGACGAGGCACUACGGUGCUGAAGUGAUAAAUGCCCUGCUUCCAGGAAAAGCCUCUAAGCAUCAGGUAACACGAAAUCGUACCCCAAACCGACACAGGUGGUCAGGUAGAGAAUACCAAGGCGCUUGAGAGAACUCGGGUGAAGGAACUAGGCAAAAUGGUGCCGUAACUUCGGGAGAAGGCACGCUGAUAGGUAGGUGAAGCCCCUGCGGGCGGAGCUGAAAUCAGUCGAAGAUACCAGCUGGCUGCAACUGUUUAUUAAAAACACAGCACUGUGCAAACACGAAAGUGGACGUAUACGGUGUGACGCCUGCCCGGUGCCGGAAGGUUAAUUGAUGGGGUUAGCGGCAACGCGAAGCUCUUGAUCGAAGCCCCGGUAAACGGCGGCCGUAACUAUAACGGUCCUAAGGUAGCGAAAUUCCUUGUCGGGUAAGUUCCGACCUGCACGAAUGGCGUAAUGAUGGCCAGGCUGUCUCCACCCGAGACUCAGUGAAAUUGAACUCGCUGUGAAGAUGCAGUGUACCCGCGGCAAGACGGAAAGACCCCGUGAACCUUUACUAUAGCUUGACACUGAACACUGGUCCUUGAUGUGUAGGAUAGGUGGGAGGCUUUGAAGCGUGGACGCCAGUCUGCGUGGAGCCAACCUUGAAAUACCACCCUUUAAUGGCUGGUGUUCUAACGUAGACCCGUGAUCCGGGUUGCGGACAGUGUCUGGUGGGUAGUUUGACUGGGGCGGUCUCCUCCCAAAGAGUAACGGAGGAGCACGAA